ACCCGGUGAAACUCGACGUCCAGGACAAGAGCUUCGUGGUUCCUGCACAUCAAAUCCGCUACUUGGUGAAACUCGACGUCCAGGAUAAGCGCUCCGUAGUUUCUCCGCUCAAGGUCCGCUACCUGGUGAAACUUGACUUCCAGAACAAGCGCUCCGUAGUUCUGGCUGUCCAGGUACUUGACCUGGUGACUGUUGACCUUCACGACUAACUUUCAACUUUACAAGUUUGAUUAUUGAAAACCUCAUCUUUUGUACUGUCAAAUCAAUAUGCAUGCUUCAGAUAACAUUUUGAAUCGGAAAAAAACCGAACUGCCUGGAUCAACAAAUUGCAAUUGACAAAAAUUACGCACUCCAUCUUUCCUGCCAAUUCGAGAUUACAGCGGUGAGGCGCUUCAAUGGCCGCUUAAUAACAUCGCCAUUUUGAGACAAUUGAUCAUAAGUAAAUUUUUCUUGUACUGUCCAAAUGUGAGUUAAAGAACACUCGAAAUUUUAAAAAGCUUCGUUAGUUAUCUCCAAUUAAA